rnacentral:rRNA from 1 species
AUGCAAGCUAAUUCGAUGAACGUGGAGGCGCUGAAAUCAGUUUUGGAUUCUUAUUGUGCUGCUUCGGGGCAAAUGGUGAGUGUUGAAAAAUCUAGUAUAUUUUUUAGUCCCAACACGAAAGUGGAAGAUAAGGCGCAUAUAUGUACUAUUCUGAAUAUUAUGACUGAAGCUCUCAAUGACAAAUAUUUGGGUCUGCCUUCAAAUGUGGGUAUGGACAAAAGUGAUUGUUUCCAAUUCUUAAUAGAUCGAAUUGUCAUGAAAAUCAGUGGUUGGAAGGAAAAGCUGCUAUCAGCAGGAGGAAAGGAAAUCCUUCUCAAAUCGGUUGUACAAGCUAUCCCAACUUAUACAAUGUCCGUCUUUAAAAUUCCUAAAAAAAUAUGUAAAGGAAUCAUUGACGCGAUGUCGCACUUUUGA